rnacentral:rRNA from 1 species
UAGGGAAUCUUCGGCAAUGGACGAAAGUCUGACCGAGCAACGCCGCGUGAGUGAAGAAGGUUUUCGGAUCGUAAAACUCUGUUGUUAGAGAAGAACGUUGCAUAGAGUGGAAAAUUAUGCAAGUGACGGUAUCUAACCAGAAAGGGACGGCUAACUACGUGCCAGCAGCCGCGGUAAUACGUAGGUCCCGAGCGUUGUCCGGAUUUAUUGGGCGUAAAGCGAGCGCAGGUGGUUUAAUAAGUCUGAUGUAAAAGGCAGUGGCUCAACCAUUGUGUGCAUUGGAAACUGUUGGACUUGAGUGCAGUAGAGGAGGGUGGAAGUCCAUGUGUAGCGGUGAAAUGCGUAGAUAUAUGGAAGAACACCGGUGGCGUAAGCGGCUCUCUGGACUGUCACUGAAACUGAGGCUCAAAAGCGUGGGUAUCAAACAGG